ACGCACGCUGGCGGCUUGCUUAACACAUGCCAGUCGAACGAAAAGAGGGAAAGAGCUUGCUCUUUCCGGAAUUGAGUGGCAAACGGGUGAGUAACACGUAAACAACCUGCCUUCAGGAUGGGGACAACAGACGGAAACGACUGCUAAUACCGAAUAAGUUCCAAGAGCCGCAUGGCCCAUGGAAGAAAAGGUGGCCUCUACCUGUAAGCUAUCGCCUGAAGAGGGGUUUGCGUCUGAUUAGCUGGUUGGAGGGGUAACGGCCCACCAAGGCGACGAUCAGUAGCCGGUCUGAGAGGAUGAACGGCCACACUGGAACUGAGACACGGUCCAGACUCCUACGGGAGGCAGCAGUGGGGAAUCUUCCGCAAUGGGCGAAAGCCUGACGGAGCAACGCCGCGUGAGUGAUGACGGCCUUCGGGUUGUAAAACUCUGUGAUCCGGGACGAAAAGGCAGAGUGCGAAGAACAAACUGCAUUGACGGUACCGGAAAAGCAAGCCACGGCUAACUACGUG
rnacentral:rRNA from 1 species